AUGAGACAAGACAGAAACACAGAGAUAGUGAGAGAGUGCAGAUCAGAGGACACAGUUGUUCAGCCAGACAAACAUGUGACUGAAGGUGAAGGAAAAUCAGUAGAAUUAAAGUGUAAAUAUAAAGAAUAUUCAGCACAGGAUACUUUAUUCUGGUACGUCCAGAGAGAUAAUGACAUUCCUAAAUACAUCCUGAGGAGAAGCAAAUAUGGAGGAAAAGAUAAUGAUGCUCAGUUUCAGGAGAGAUUUCACUCUGAAGUGUCAUCAGAUUCAGUUCCACUGACAAUCAAGAACCUGCAUGUGUCUGACUCUGCUGUGUACUACUGUGCUCUGAGGCCCACAGUGAGAAAACUCAAGUCAAACCACAUACAAAAACACAAGAGCUGA